GUCAGCGUGGCCGAGUGGUUAAGGCGUCAGUCUUGAAAACUGAUACGGUUCCCGUUCGCAGGUUCGAAUCCUGUCGCUGACG
rnacentral:tRNA from 1 species